AUUCAGAUAUCGACGCUAUGAGUAUGUAUCGUACAAGGAAAGGAGAAUUAAUGUUCUUUCAUUGUAGAAUUGUUCACUGUGAAAAAUUUAAAAUGUAUACGAACUGCCUGCAAGAUUUACUGACGAUCACAUUUUGCAAGAACCGCAGAAGCGGAUUUUUCAUCGUCAUUUGCAUUCAUUUCGUAUAAUUAUAUACAAACCACAACUCUCCAGC
rnacentral:lncRNA from 1 species